rnacentral:rRNA from 1 species
CUACGGGCUGCUCCAGUGGGGAAUAUUGGACAAUGGGGGAAACCCUGAUCCAGCAAUGCCGCGUGUGUGAAGAAGGCCUGCGGGUUGUAAAGCACUUUCGGUUGGGAGGACUGCUUCUAGCACUGAUAUUGUUGGAAGUUGACGUUACCUUCAGAAGAAGCACCGGCUAACUCCGUGCCAGCAGCCGCGGUAAUAGCGGAGGGUGCAAGCGUUAAUCGGAAUUACUGGGCGUAAAGCGCGCGUAGGCGGCUAGAUCAGUCGGGUGUGAAAGCCCCGGGCUUAACCUGGGAACUGCAUCCGAUACUGUCUAGCUUGAGUACAGGAGAGGAGAGUGGAAUUCCACAUGUAGCGGUGAAAUGCGUAGAUAUGUGGAGGAACACCAAUGGCGAAGGCAGCUCUCUGGCCUGAUACUGACGCUGAGGUGCGAAAGCGUGGGGAGCAAACAGGAUUAGAUACCCCUGUAGUC